CAAAAUACCCUUGUCAUCCAA
rnacentral:miRNA from 1 species